ACAGCUAGUGAGUGUCAGAACUCUGGUCUCCCUGACUCUGGGCCUGGCGCUCUGUGCACUAUGGCGCCGCCUGGCGGCCACCUCUCUGCAUGCCGUCUCCCAAGAAAAUGCAAGCCCCAGGAGCGCGGGGUGUGUUCCUCUACGCAUCCCUAACAGCAGGUGUUCAGGGGUCCUCAUGGAUGGAAGAAGACAGAGAACAGGCGUGUGCUGGGAAAGUCAUUGACUGAAGCGGCUGUGAUGUCACGUGAUCUAAGGGCCGCUCCGUCCUUGCUCAUUGGCAGAGCACGAAAAGACCAAGCCCCACGUGACUGCCCCUCCUUUCCAAAUCCAGGAAGGCUACAAGUGGAGAAAAGGCACGCUCUGGAGCUCCAGACCCUGUACCUUCCUCUCGCGGCUCCUGGGCCUGAGAAGCCAUGGCUUCUCAGGCCAUCGGAGUAUUGCGAGGUCGGUGACCCGAAACUGUGUUUCCUGGGGAGGUGAUCAAAAUGGACUAAGCGGCAUCUUCGUCAGAAGAGGAGUUGUACCUGGGUUCGGUGCUGAGUACUGGGGCCGCCCCACUGGGCUGCGCGUAGCUGGGGAAGCACCUGAGACUGACUCUGAGGAGGAGCCCGCGACCCUGGUGGCCCACGAGGAUCUGCUUCCACUCGUGGUGGUUCGGGGCCCACAGUGGGCAGAAAAGGAGGCUCCCGCAGCAGCGAGGCUCCCGCAGCGGCUACGCUCCCUGCCUCGCGCCAGGCCUCACUGCUGCAACACAGGCUGGCUGAGAGCUAGGCUCGCCUGGGCCACGAUGUGAGCGCCGUGGUGCAUGGUAUGUACAGGCGAGCUGGCCUCAAUGUGGCCGGCCUGGCAGCCCGUCUAGCCGCCGCGCAGGAGGUGGGCUUGGCGGCUGCCCACAGCAUCCGCCUGGCCCGUAGCAACCUCCGUGCCCUUACCGAGUGCCUGGACAUUGUAGCCAGCUGCCCACUGCUGCCUGACAUCCAAUCUCCUGCUGAGCCAGCCCCUGGGCAUGGUGGAGGAGCAGCCCUCCUCACCUGUGUCCCACCCCCACUGUGGUCCCAAGGUCUAGUGUCCCUUGCUGGCUUCUCUGGGGAGGGUUGGUAGAGGCCGUCUCAGUGCUCCUUUAUCCAGGGUUCAGGGGCCCUCCACUGGGUUGGCGGAUGGAAAGGGCCUGGGGGAUGGGAGCUGCCUCACCCUCUGUACCCUCACCAGGUUUCAAUAAAGUGUCUUUGGAUUUUUUUUU